rnacentral:rRNA from 1 species
CCUGGCCUUGACAUACUAAGAACUUUCCAGAGAUGGAUUGGUGCCUUCGGGAACUUAGAUACAGGUGCUGCAUGGCUGUCGUCAGCUCGUGUCGUGAGAGUGUUCGGGUUAAGUCCCGCAACGAGCGCAACCCUUUUCCUUAUUUGCCAGCGGGUUAAGCCGGGAACUUUAAGGAUACUGCCAGUGACAAACUGGAGGAAGGCGGGGACGACGUCAAGUCAUCAUGGCCCUUACGGCCAGGGCUACACACGUGCUACAAUGGUCGGUACAAAGGGUUGCUACCUCGCGAGAGGAUGCUAAUCUCAAAAAAGCCGAUCGUAGUCCGGAUCGCAGUCUGCAACUCGACUGCGUGAAGUCGGAAUCGCUAGUAAUCGCGGAUCAGAAUGCCGCGGUGAAUACGUUCCCGGGCCUUGUACACACCGCCCGUCACACCAUGGGAGUUUGUUGCACCAGAAGUAGGUAGUCUAACCGCAAGGAGGACGCUUACCACGGUGUGGCCGAUGACUGGGGUGAAGUCGUAACAAGGUAAGCGUAGAUGA